rfam:Camelus ferus unplaced genomic scaffold scaffold871, whole genome shotgun sequence.
GGGGGUGACAGCUCAGCGAUAAAGUGUGUGCUUAACAUGCACAAGGUCCUGGGUUCAAUCCCCAGUACUUUCA